rnacentral:rRNA from 1 species
CAGUCGCCACGGUAAUACGUAGGGCGCAAGCGUUGUCCGGAAUUAUUGGGCGUAAAGAGCUCGUAGGCGGUCUGUCGCGUCUGGUGUGAAAUCCCGAGGCUCAACCUCGGGCUUGCAUCGGGUACGGGCAGACUAGAGUGCGGUAGGGGAGACUGGAAUUCCUGGUGUAGCGGUGGAAUGCGCAGAUAUCAGGAGGAACACCGAUGGCGAAGGCAGGUCUCUGGGCCGCAACUGACGCUGAGGAGCGAAAGCAUGGGGAGCGAACAGGAUUAGAUACCCCUGUAGUCCCUGUCUCUUAUAC